GUUAACGUAGCACAAUAUGGUUAUGCAAAAGAUCUAAGCCCUUCCCAUAGAGGUUCAAAUCCUCUCGCUAACU
rnacentral:tRNA from 1 species